UACAGAGGUCUCAAGCGUUGUUCGGAUUCAUUGGGCGUAAAGGGUGCGUAGGUGGCGCUGUAAGUCGGGUGUGAAAUUUCGGAGCUUAACUCCGAAACUGCAUUCGAUACUGCGGUGCUUGAGGACUGGAGAGGAGACUGGAAUUCAUGGUGUAGCAGUGAAAUGCGUAGAGAUCAUGAGGAAGACCAGUGGCGAAGGCGGGUCUCUGGACAGUUCCUGACACUGAGACACGAAGGCCAGGGGAGCAAACGGGG
rnacentral:rRNA from 1 species